rnacentral:rRNA from 1 species
AGAGUUUGAUCAUGGCUCAGGACGAACGCUGGCGGCGUGCUUAACACAUGCAAGUCGAACGGAUCCGGGGCUCUUCGGGGUUUCGGGUGAGUGGCGAACGGGUGAGUAACACGUGGGUAACCUGCCCCAGGCUCUGGGAUAACUCCGGGAAACCGGGGCUAAUACCGGAUAUGACCUGUCACCGCAUGGUGGUGGGUGGA